rnacentral:rRNA from 1 species
CUUGUCUCAAAGAUUAAGCCAUGCAUGUCUAAGUACAGACCGAUUUAUACGGUGAAACCGCGAAUGGCUCAUUAAAUCAGUUAUGGUUCAUUGGAUCUUACACGAGUUACUUGGAUAACUGUGGUAAUUCUAGAGCUAAUACAUGCAUCUAAGCUCCGACCGGAAGGGAAGAGUGCUUUUAUUAGAUCAGAACCAAUCGGGUUUCGGCCCGUAUUUGUUGUGAUGACUCUGAAUAACUUUGUGCUGAGCGCAUGGUCUUUGCACCAGCGCCGCAUCUUUCAAGUGUCUGCCUUAUCAGCUUUCGAUUGUAGAUUAUGUGCCUACAAUGGCUAUAACGGGUAACGGGGAAUCAGGGUUCGAUUCCGGAGAGGGAGCCUGAGAAACGGCUACCACAUCUAAGGAAGGCAGCAGGCACGCAAAUUACCCACUCCCAGCCCGGGGAGGUAGUGACGAAAAAUAACGAUGCGUGUCUCAACUGAGGCUACGCAAUCGGAAUGAGUUCACUUUAAAUCCUUGUACAAGGAUCAAUUGGAGGGCAAGUCUGGUGCCAGCAGCCGCGGUAACUCCAGCUCCAAUAGCGUAUAUUAAAGUUGUUGCGGUUAAAAAGCUCGUAGCUGAAUCUUAGUUCUGGACCGAUGGUGCGCCUCUGGCGAUUACUGUUGGUCUGAACAGCUCGUCGGCUUGCAUGCGAUGCUCUUUAUUGAGUGUUGUACGUAGCCGACAAUGUUACUUUGAGAAAAUUAGAGUGCUCAAAGCAGGCUUGUGCCUGAAUAAUGGUGCAUGGAAUAAUGGAAUAGGACCUCGGUUCUAUCUUGUUGGUUUAUGGAACCUGAGGUAAUGAUUAAUAGAGACGGACGGGGGCAUUCGUAUUGCGACGCUAGAGGUGAAAUUCUAUGACCGUCGCAAGACGUACU